AACAUAAACUAAAAUAAUAAUAAUAAAGAACAAAUUCCCUUACUCUACUUUUUGUCUUAACUUUUUUUUGUUGCUAAUGCAAAUUCGUGUCUAGUUUUGUUUUUGACUGUGGUCGGAGUUUUUCGUGGUGCGGUUAAGUAGUGCAGGAAUGCAGAAGUUGAACGCUGGACUGUUUCAUGGAAAGGACUUUCCAACAUCAUAAUAAUGUGAAUUAUUCAUUCGUUUAUGCUUUUAGUUUAUGUUUUUAAUUAAAUUUGUUGUUCGCGACCACGAAAAAGGGACCAUAAGCUUUUAUUCCCCAGCUAACCAUUAUUUUCUCUGCGCUUUUGUUCAUCAAUUACGACAGUUGUUUAACAUUUCUCUUUGUCUAGUUUAGGGGCUUAUGAGAGUACUCUUUCAUAUGUUUGUAUGAGCGAUUGCUACGACUCAUUUGCUUGGAAUACAACUGAGGGUGUCGAAGGAAGGAGGAUUUUGAUUCAAAAGAUUCAAGCAUCCUUGCAUGGGUUACCUAUAUUUUGGAUGCUAUAAAUAUAACGAUUUUGCUCCAUUUCCAACCCAUUGUCAGGUAUCGCCUUCAAUUUGCGGUUCGCCUCUACUACUGCUACUGUGUGGCUGAUAAUAUGGAAAUUUCCGCGUUUUGUCUUCUCCACUGUUCAUUUUCCUUGGCAUCUAUACACACCUUGCCAUCUUUGGCUUUGGACGGACGUGCCGGUUCCUGUCGCAGUCCAUCAACCCAUCGUCCCAUCGUCGCCUCCUACUUUGUAGUGCCUUUGGGACUUUUUUAUAAACAAAUAGGGAGUAACACUUUCUCUGGCCCAGCGAGAUAUUGCUUCUACAUUGCUAUGCUAUGCCCGCACACAAUGACACGACUCGACGCGAGUCGAGUCAAGGCAGGCGAUGCACACAGGAUGCCAACAAACGCACAAGCACACACACUAGUGAACAAGUAGGAAUGGAAUGAUUUAGCGCCGACUAUGGGAUACCUACUGUCGGGCCACUUUUCUAUACCGAUCUGCCUGUUCUUGGUACAAGCGUUAAGGAUAUAAGCAAAGGUGUUCCUAGGUCCCUCUUGCUUUUGGGGUCUCCUAGAUCUUCUACCUCUACAAUAAACGGAUAUACCCUCAUAACCACUAUAGCAAUACAGAAAGAGAAAGCUUGAAGUAGAUAGAGAGAUAGAGACAGAGGGAGAGAGAGAGUGACUCGAAACAGUCGAUCCACGGGGGCAAAGCAAAGUAUUGUCGCCUGCAGUAAAUGCCAGGCUUCCGCUGCGACAUGCGGCCAUAGAAGCAACAGAAGAAGCGUCGACCGGAAGGAACUGUUGUACGGACCGCCAUUAUGAAUGCAGCUCCAUUUCACCCACCCACCAUCCACCUCCAGUCACUCCUCUCGUCUACUCGUCGGUCUUGUUCCGUGUGCGUUUUUCUCUGGACUUACACCAUUUUUUUUUUUUGGGACUACCAACUCCACUUUAGGUACCUCCUUCCUCGAAUUAGGCCUGCAAAAAAGCCGGAAAUCUUAUAUAAGCUGGAUAAAUGGUAGACUUCCUCUACAAGUGACAAAAAAGUUGAAAAAUACGAUAUUUGGCCAAUGGUUCCUAUGUAAGCUAUACGAUACAUCGCUCUGAUCGGAUUGCAUUUUUUUUUGUGAUUUAGAAUAUUAAAACAUAUUCAAGCCCCCAAAAUUUCAGCUCGAUUUGUUAAUAUUUAAGCCAACAAUAAAUAGGUAACAUUCAACUUUUCAGACUAAUGUGCAACUGCAGAGUAUUAUUAGUAGUUAUACUAUUAGUAUUGCCACUCACGUCUACCAAAAAUGCUUUCGGAAUGGGAAUGAAAUAUGGAAUAUUUGAUAAAAUGUUUUAUCCAACUACGUCCAAUUCUGGACGGCUUAACAGCACUACAUUCCGCUUUAAGAAACUAUUAGACAAAAAACUCUUAUACCUCCCGUGCAGACAUCCCAUCGGUGAAAUAUA